rnacentral:rRNA from 1 species
UAUUGGUCAAUGGACGAGAGUCUGAACCAGCCAAGUAGCGUGAAGGAUGACUGCCCUAUGGGUUGUAAACUUCUUUUAUAUGGGAAUAAAAUGAGUUACGUGCAGCUUUUUGUAUGUACCAUAUGAAUAAGGAUCGGCUAACUCCGUGCCAGCAGCCGCGGUAAUACGGAGGAUCCGAGCGUUAUCCGGAUUUAUUGGGUUUAAAGGGAGCGUAGGUGGAUUGUUAAGUCAGUUGUGAAAGUUUGCGGCUCAACCGUAAAAUUGCAGUCGAAACUGGCAGUCUUGAGUACAGUAGAGGUGGGCAGAAUUCGUGGUGUAGCGGUGAAAUGCUUAGAUAUCACGAAGAACUCCGAUUGCGAAGGCAGCUCACUAGACUGCAACUGACACUGAUGCUCGAAAGUGCGGGGAUCGAAC